UGAGAUACCACUCUGGAAGAGUUAGAAUUCUAACCUUGUGUCAGGACCCACGGGUGAAGGGACAGUCUCAGUUAGAAUUCUAACCUUGAGUCAGGACCCACGGGUGAAGGGACAGUCUCAGUUAGACAGUUUCUAUGAGGCGUAGGCCUCCCAGAAGAUAAUAGAGGCGUGCAAAUAUUUCCUCGAGCAGGACGGAGAUUGGCCCUCGAGUGCAAAGGCAUAAGAGAGCUUAAUUGCAAGACUCAUCCGUCGAGCACGAACGAAAGUCGGCCUUAGUGAUCCGACUGUGUCGAGUGGAAGGAUCGUCGCUCAACGGAUAAAAGUAACUCUA
rnacentral:ncRNA from 1 species